UAGCCUUUAGAAAUGAAGAAUAAUACCCCAUAGUAUGUAAAGAUCGCAUGGUUUUUACAUUAAAGUUUCGGCGGUAAGAGAUGAGUAUGCGUUCUAUUAGCUAGAUGGUGUGGUAACGGCACACCAUGGCAACGAUAGAUAGGGGCCCUGAGAGGGGGAUCCCCCACACUGGUACUGAGACACGGACCAGACUCCUACGGGAGGCAGCAGUGAGGAAUAUUGGACAAUGGGCGAGAGUGAUCCAGCCAUGCCGCGUGCAGGAAGACUGCCCUAUGGGUUGUAAACUGCUUUUAUAUAGGAAGAAACCUUUCCACGUGUGGAGAGCUGACGGUACUAUAAGAAUAAGGAUCGGCUAACUCCGUGCCAGCAGCCGCGGUAAUACGGAGGAUCCAAGCGUUAUCCGGAAUCAUUGGGUUUAAAGGGUCCGUAGUUGAUAAUUAAGUCAGAGGUGAAAGUUUGCGGCUUAACCGUAAAAUUGCCUUUGAUACUGGUUAUCUUGAAUUAGUGUGAAGUGGUUAGAAUAUGUAGUGUAGCGGUGAAAUGCAUAGAUAUUACAUAGAAUACCAAUUGCGAAGCAGAUCACUAACACUAUAUUGACACUGAUGGACGAAAGCGUGGGGAGCGAACGGGAUUAGAUACCCCGGUAGUCCACGCCGUAAACGAUGGUCACUAGCUGUUCGGACUUCGGUCUGAGUGGCUAAGCGAAAGUGAUAAGUGACCCACCUGGGGAGUACGUUCGCAAGAAUGAAACUCAAAGGAAUUG
rnacentral:rRNA from 1 species